UAAAAAGCUCGUAGUUGGAUCUCGGCGGUCUGAGGGCGGUUCGCUUGAUUGAGUGCUACUGCUCUAUAGGCCGUGGUUUUGCCAGAGGUCUCGGGGUGCUCUUAACCGAGUGUCCUGCGAUGCUGGCAGGUUUACUUUGAAAAAAUUAGAGUGCUCAAAGCAGGCUUUUACGCCUGAAUAUUCGUGCAUGGAAUAAUAGAAUAGGAAGUCGUUUCUAUUUUGUUGGUUUUCGGAAAUCGACUUAAUGAUUAAUAGGGACAGUCGGGGGCAUUUGUAUUCAAACGACAGAGGUGAAAUUCUUGGACCGUUUGAAGACAAACUACUGCGAAAGCAUUUGCCCAGAAUGUUUUCAUUAAUCAAGAACGUAAGUUAGAGGUUCGAAGGCGAUUAGAUACCGCCCUAGUUCUAACCAUAAACGAUGCCAGCUAGCGAUCUGCCGACGUUUUCUUUGUAGACUCGGCAGGAAGCUUCCGGGAAACCAAAGCAUUUGGGUUCCAGGGGAAGUAUGGUUGCAAAGCUGAAACUUAAAGGAAUUGACGGAAGGGCACCACCAGGAGUGGAGCCUGUGGCUUAAUUUGACUCAACACGGGAAAUCUCACCAGGCCCGGACACUGGAAGGAUUGACAGAUUGAUAGCUCU
rnacentral:rRNA from 1 species